AAUGAAAGCACUGGUCAUCCUUUCCAAGAACACUUAGGACUGCUGACUCCCAGAUCUGGAAUUGACAGCUCCUCAUACUAAAAUGAUCAGAAUAUCUGGCGGAUGAUCUCUCGUCGCUCAGGGACAAGUUUGUACUGGAUAACCUCCUCCAGCUCGGACAGCAUGUGGCAAGAAACCAUGGCCUGAUGGAAGCAAAUCACAUUCCAACCUAAUUACUGCAUGAACAAUCCAAAAGACAGGAUUAAUUUAAAUCAUUCCUUCUGGUGUCAGGGUAUCUGCUGACCAGAGAAAACAGGCAUGUUCCAGGUAGCCUUGAUGAAGACAGAAACUCACUGAAGAAGGAAGAAAGGUUUUUCCAGAUCUGAAUGGCUAGAAAAGAGUAUUAUACAAUUUCUCACCCAAGACAGAAAUGUAUGGCAUCCAAAACUUUAAAAAAUCUACCUA